rnacentral:sRNA from 1 species
CCGCAGCCCGACCUGAGUGGAGCUCUUUUUUUCUUGCCGUGAGCGGUUAGUUGAUUUCGGCAAGAAAAAAAAGCGGGAACGGAGGGCGGAAUAGCU